rnacentral:rRNA from 1 species
GACGAACGCUGGCGGCGUGCUUAACACAUGCAAGUCGAACGGAAAGGCCUGCUUUCCCUUGUGGAUUGCGGGUACUCGAGUGGCGAACGGGUGAGUAACACGUGAGUGAUCUGCCCCCACCUUGGGUAUAAGCCUGGGAAACUGGGUCUAAUUCCCGAUAGGACUGCAGGGUGGUGCCUGUGGUGGACAACGAUUUUCUCGUGGUUGGGGAUGGGCUCGCGGCCUAUCAGCUGGGUGGCGGGGUAAUGGCCUACCACGGCGGCGACGGGUAGCCGGCCUGGGAGGGUGGAAGGGCAAAUGAGGACUGGGACACGGCCCAGAGGGCGGCGGGAGGCAGCAGUGGGGAAUAUUGGACAAUGGGCUGAAGCAUGAUGCAGGGACGCGGCGUGGAGGAUGACGGACUGCGGAGUGUAAACUCCUGUCGGCCGCGAGGAAGCCACCUGGUUGGAAGGGUGGUGACGGUAGUGGUAGAAGAAGCACCGGCUAACUACGU